AUACGGGGGGGGCAAGCGUUGUUCGGAAUUACUGGGCGUAAAGGGCGCGUAGGCGGUUGGAUAAGUCAGCUGUGAAAACCACGGGCUCAACCCAUGGCCUGCAGUUGAGACUGUCUGGCUAGAGUGUGGGAGAGGGAAGUGGAAUUCCUGGUGUAGCGGUGAAAUGCGUAGAUAUCAGGAGGAACACCGGUGGCGAAGGCGGCUUCCUGGACCACAACUGACGCUGAGGCGCGAAAGCUAGGGGAGCAAACAG
rnacentral:rRNA from 1 species